rnacentral:rRNA from 1 species
CCUACGGGAGGCAGCAGUCGAGAAUCAUUCACAAUGGGGGAAACUCUGAUGGUGCGACGCCGCGUGGGGGAAUGAAGGUCUUCGGAUUGUAAACCCCUGUCAUGUGGGAGCAAAUUAAAAAGAUAGUACCACAAGAGGAAGAGACGGCUAACUCUGGGCCAGCAGCCGCGGUAAUACAGAGGUUUCAAGCGUUGUUCGGAAUCACUGGGCGUAAAGCGUGCGUAGGCUGUUUAGUAAGUCGGGUGUGAAAGGCGCGGGCUCAACCCGCGGACGGCACAUGAUACUGCGAGACUAGAGUAGUGGAGGGGGAGCCGGAAUUCUUGGUGUAGCAGUGAAAUGCGUAGAUAUCGAGAGGAACACUCGUGGCGAAGGCGGGUGCCUGGACAUUAACUGACGCUGAGGCACGAAGGCCAGGGGAGCGAAAGGGAUUAGAUACCCCUGUAGUC